AUUUGCUUUACGCUAACUUAGACAAGUCCUUCACAGUGUGCCUCAUGUGGAAAAGUUAGGAAAAUACUAAGAACUUUUUAAAAAGAUCUGAUUUCAGGCAGUACUAACAUAUAAUAUGUACUGCAGACACUUUUAAACUUAAUUUCUCCAUGAAAUUUUACUUUAUUUCUCCAGAAAGCCCCUGGUGUGAGCUCCAGAGCUUUUGUCCAGAGACAGAAGAGGUUCUUGGGCAGAGUGGAGUGUGGGAAUUCAGAACUGAAUGGAUGUGUUGAUACAGGAGGUGUUCUGGGCAUGAUGCCUGUUCGAUGGCAUGAGGAAAUGGCACCGACUCAGGUCUGAGCAUUCACUCCAAGCUGCAGCACAGCCUCAGGGUUUGAUAAGCUGCGUGCUGCUGCUGAGCCUUCCAAGGAGCUCACCAACAAGAGCGUCGAUUACAGUGCAUGCAAAGAAACCACCUGCGAUCUGAGGCCAGCAGCACAUGUGAAAGAUGGCUCAAUGUGCUCUUCUGCUUGAAGCUGGCUGAGGACACCUGGGCAGAUGAGAGCAAGCAGAGCAUGGAGUAUGCUGGCCCUUCUCCACGUGGGAGCAGUUACUUAGGAUAAAUCUGGGAAACAUGGUCCUUGAUAGCAAGGGCCAAACUGGAGGCUUUGGGCUGGAGGAAGCAUGGAGCCCCAAAUCAAAAAUUGGGUGGCCUCUCUCUCAGCAUGGCAUGGCUCAGUUUUGGUGGGUGUCAUGUGCUUGCGAUCAGCAGCAGCCACAGCCAGUGCUCGUCUACUGAAUGAAAACUACAGCAGUAAACAGCAGCGAAAGUGUGGAAUAGUGUGGGG
ensembl:lncRNA